rnacentral:tRNA from 1 species
GAAAUUUAAAAAGUAUAAUACUUAUAUUUGAUAUACAAGACCAAUGUUUUAUUUUAAACUAUUUAAAU